rnacentral:tRNA from 2 species
GCGGGAAUAGCUCAGUUGGUAGAGUACAACCUUGCCAAGGUUGGGGUCGCGAGUUCGAAUCUCGUUUCCCGCUCCA